CCUGUCUCCAUUAUGCAUCUAUUAGAAGCUAAAGAGACAUACAAAGGACGUACAUUUGUGUGAACUCUGCGCAGCACCAGGACCUUCUUCUGACUCCAUCUCCCCUCUUCUAACAUGAGAAGAAUGGACUGGAGAAAACCUGCUCAGGAAACCUUAGUCCAGGCAGGAGACGAAGAUGCCUUGUGUGGGGACGGCGGCAGGGCGAAGUUUCAGGUUUUCACUCAGAAAGUUCACAAAACUCUGGCACCUGCUCCUGUUUUGUCAGCAAGUGCAGUGGAUGAAACAGUAAUUGAGCAAAAGAGGCAAUUUAGACACACAGAGAGACACUGGGGACACGCACGCACAGGGAAAAGGCAAUGAGAGGACACAUAAGGAGGCAGCCAUCUGCAAACCAAGGAGAGAGGCCUCAGGAGAAACCGAACCUGCUGACAUCCUGAUCUUGAACUGCGAGCCUCCAGAACCGUGAGAGAAUAAAUAUGUGUUGUUUAGGCCUCUCAGUCUGAUGUCUUGUUGUAACAGCCCCCCAAAACACAUACACCUUCCUUUUAGGCCUCUGAACCUCAGUCAGAGUUUGCACACCCAGACAGUGGAAGCUGGACUGCAGCCUCUGGCCACCAACCUUCUUCCCCUGGGCGUGUUCUCCUAGUCCCGGCUGGAAAAGUGGAGGAACAAAUUGUAACUGUGCUCUGGGGCACACACAGAUGUCCUCCAUGAACCAACAGGUUCCCGACUCUUGUAGAAAGUCAUCACUUUAUGCUACGCCUUGUGCUCCUCCCCAUGCUCUUUUCUGGCACAAAUACCAACAGGGGGAGCCACCUUUACCUUCCACCCACGUGACUGAGUGACACAGAGGGGCUGCCAGCACAGUCAGCGGGCACCAGGCCCCUCUGGAAGGGGACACACCAAGAGGAGGUGGGAGGACCGGGGGACCUCAAAAUUGUCUCUGGCCUUGUGCUGGCUCUGGGCCCCUGCCAGAGACAGCGGUUUCUAGGGAUGAGAACAUUUUGAAAGAGACUCUCUGGGUGGUGGUUAAGCCCCAGUGGGUGGAGGGCUCACGCCUCACCCCCGCCAGGCGCCCCUCCCAUGCUGUUCCCCUCCCAGAUGCCCAGCAGCCACGGGGGCGCAGCUGCUCCGAAUUAGUGCUGGGGCCCUGCUGCGGAACACAGCACAGCCGGGAUGGGGGCGUCCCACCCGCUCUGACUCCGGGAGGCUCUAGGAGGGUGUGUAAGAAAGCUGGACGGCAGUGGUUUUCCCUCAGCGCGGCCACGUGGCGUCUCUCUCACAGUCAGUAAGAUGGAGAAGCAGGGACAAACCUGGUGAUAGAUUUAGAAGGGAGAAUGAGCAAAACUUGAUGGCUGGGGGCGCUGUUGGGAGU